GGGGGUGUAGCUCAGUGGUAGAGCGCGUGCUUAGCAUGCACGAGGUCCUGGGUUCGAUCCCCAGUACCUCCA
rnacentral:tRNA from 2 species